CGAUUUAUUAGUUUUUCAGAGAAAAGACAGGGUGAUAUCUGUUUCGUUUAUUUUUAAGAAAUAAAUUUAGCUAUUUAUAAAAUAAUCAGACUUUCACUUUAGAAUCUUAAAUAUAAGGGUAAACUUCAAAUACUAUCCCUGUGGUUUCGCUCGUUCUCACUUUGGUACUCUGUGGUUUAAAAUGUAUCAUUUAAUAAUCCGUGGUUUUAUUUUAUCUUUUCGUCAAUAUCUUAGUUAACUCUCCAUUAAAUCAUAUAAAAAAAACUUCACAUAACUCACCUAUGGUCAACCGAAUAUUCACUUUAGUACUUUGUGAUUUACCGAAUUUCUACUUUAGUAUCCCUUGAUUUUAAUGUAGAGAAUAACCCACCAAAUACUAAGUGUAUAUUUUAAACUAGAUAAUACUAAAGUAAAAAAGCAUGCCACAAAAAUAAUAUUUAAAUUUUUAUCUAAAUAUUAAUUAUCAAAUUUUUAAUCAACUAUGCUAAAUAUCUAGU
rnacentral:lncRNA from 1 species